rnacentral:rRNA from 1 species
GUCUAUGGCCAUGCUACCCUGAACAAGCCCGAUCCCGUCUGAUCUCAGAAGCUGAGCAAGGUCGGGCCUGGUUAGUACUUGGAUUGGAGACCACCUGGGAAGACCAGGUGCUGUAGGCG